rnacentral:lncRNA from 1 species
CAUAAUACACUUAUCAUGCCAUCUUUUGGUAUUUUCUUUAUACAAUAGCUCAUUUUCAUAGGCAUGGAAGAGAAACUCAUUAAGUUCAUUCAAUUUUAGCUAUCUUUUAUUUUUAGCAACCUUUAUAUCAACAUUCAAUUUAUUCACUUUCCAAUAAGAUUGAUGCACAUACUCCACAAAUGGACAGGUCCCAAUGGGAAUUUUAUAGGUUGCCCUAUACGC